rnacentral:rRNA from 1 species
UGAGGAAUAUUGGUCAAUGGGCGAGAGCCUGAACCAGCCAAGUAGCGUGCAGGAUGACGGCCCUAUGGGUUGUAAACUGCUUUUAUGUUGGGAUAAAGUGCGUGACGUGUCAUGCAUUGCAGGUACCACAUGAAUAAGGACCGGCUAAUUCCGUGCCAGCAGCCGCGGUAAUACGGAAGGUCCGGGCGUUAUCCGGAUUUAUUUGGUUUAAAGGGAGCGUAGGCUGUCUAUUAAGCGUGUUGUGAAAUUUACCGGCUCAACCGGUGGCUUGCAGCGCGAACUGGUCGACUUGAGUAUGCAGGAAGUAGGCGGAAUUCAGGGUGUAGCGGUGAAAUGCUUAGAUAUCAUGACGAACUCCGAUUGCGCAGGCAGCUUACUGUAGCAUAACUGUCGCUGAUGCUCGAAAGGGCGGGUAUCAAACAGG